rnacentral:lncRNA from 1 species
GCGUCGUCUACUGCAUCCCCCACCACGCCUUCGCACUCAUCUCCAUGGUAGGAGAAGGCACACACAUCUGGUCCUAUUUGGAAAAGUGAAAAUUUUAGGGUGUUACAAUUCUACCCCCCUUAAGAUGAAUCUCGUCCUCGAGAUUCGGUUGGUGCUUACUCAAACAACUGAGGAUAUGACUUUCUUAAAUCUUCUUCCCUUUCCCAGGUAGCCUCUUCCUUGGUAUAUCUAUUCCACUGUACUCUGCACAUUCUGAUGACCCGACUCCUAGUGACUCUUUCUGCUGUUUCCAAAAUUCAUACCGGAUACUCUUCAUAAGUAAGAUCCUCUUUAACGGUUAAUUCCUCUAUCGGUAUCUGCUCUUCUGGCACCC